UCAAACUUGGUCAUUUAGAGGAAGUAAAAGUCGUAACAAGGUUUCCGUAGGUGAACCUGCGGAAGGAUCAUUAACGUAUCUCUGGCGGGGCUCGGCCUGCCCUGCUCCGGUCCAAACGGGCCGUGCAGCGGGCGGCCGUCCCUGUCCAAACCUCACAAACCCACUGUGAACCUUCACGGCGAAGGGGGCCCGGUUCGCGCCGCGCCUCCGAUGCCGCAUACCAAACUCCAGUUACAAAGAAUGUACUGCGGCCCUCGUGUCGCCUAUAAACAUAACAACUUUCAACAACGGAUCUCUUGGCUCUCGCAUCGAUGAAGAACGCAGC
rnacentral:misc_RNA from 1 species